ensembl:lncRNA
GGGCCAUAGGAAACUGUAAUGGUGGUUCAGCACAUGUAGCUCUGUUGACUUGUUUGUUGUUUUGAAGAUGCCUACAGGUCUUUACCACUUUACUCUUUACAACUCACCACCAUAGUUUGAUUCAUUCAACAAUUUGAAGCUUUGUUACAUGGAAAAUCUAUAGCUUACACAGGUUUGAACUUGAAUAACUUGAAUAACUUUGAACAUUUUGAGACUUAAAAACUCCUGCUAAUGGCCUAGCUAUCUCCUGCUCCCUGCUGUCGGCUGAAGCUUCUACCGGCCCGCUUGAUUACCACUUACAUCACCUGGAUCAUUAAGCAUGCAUGUUCAUGUGCAGUGCAGAUAGCCAGAGGAACAGGCUGCCAGCGGCCAUGUCAAAAGGGAUCACAUCAUGAGAUCCAGCAGAAGUGAGAAACAUGGAAGAUAGGAAAAAGGCA